rnacentral:lncRNA from 1 species
CAUUGCAUUCAUAAGCAUCAUGCCACAAUUGCAUAUUUGAAUUUUUGAAUCACAAAAGGCUUUAAGAGAUUUUGUUUACAUCCUUGUAACCUUUGGAUUUUCAAACCAAUAGGGUUGAUGUAUAAAAAGGGUUUAAUGCAUAUAUAAGCUAUCCCAUAUUUUUUGGUUAAUUAUUUGGAGUUGAAAAAGUAUUUAUUUAAAUAGUUAUAUGGCCCUAAAGCAUUUAUAGGGCAAGUGUAGAAUCUUUUGGCACUGUCCAAAUUCAAAUUUGAAUAUUUGAAUCACAUUCAAAUUACAGAUUAGGGUUUAUACCAUUUAAAUCAUAACUAAUUAUUUAGAAGUCCUUUUUGAAUGAAACCAGUGCCCAAAAUUUUGUUUUAAUGUCCUCUGUCCAAUGGGACAGAGAAAUAAAUGUUUUGAAUUAAUCUAUUUGGCUGAUGCUAAUAAAAUCUUAUUUUAGGGUUUAAACCCUAGGCAUUGCAAUUCAUUUAAAAACCCUAAUUGCAGGUGCUUAAUUAUCAAUGCCUUGGACCAGUAGAUCACCCAAAUAAAACCAACCCACCCAUGUCAUAUGUUUUGCAUCGCAUCAUGGCAUACAUAUUCUUUUGUCAUGUUUGUAUUGUGUGUUUAUGUGUGUGUAUAUGUUUGUUGAUUGUAUAGUAGUCUCGGAGAGCGAACCUUGCGAUUGUGACGAGUGUUUGAACUCCAACUACUAUCAAGGCAAGUUCACUUUGAUCAUUUAUCCAUUAUUUUAUUGUGCACUAGAUUUUAUUAGUUGCAUUGUCAGGAUUAUUAUUGUAUCUAUGCUAGCUAUGAUCUGUCCUAGUAGUAUAGGAUACUUUUGCCAUGACUUCACCACCAAUUGCCAUCGUAAUAGUAAAAUGCUAUGCUAUGAUAAUAUACGAGGGUGGUAUUAUUACAAUGUGAUACUAUUGAAUUACAAAUAUAGUUUUCCUAGUGUAUGACAAAACAAGUAAUUCAAUGAACCGUCCUGGGUGGGCUGCUUUGAGUAUUCGGAUGUCGUGACGUUAGGUCCAUUUCUAUGGGUCCCUCUGAGUCGAGUCUCCGUGGAUUCGGAGAUGGAUCGUCCAUGGACGUCUCUCCCGUGGAUUCGGGGAGCGCCUUCGUCACAAUGUGGGAUGCCACCCGGGAUAACCAGAGACUGGACUAGUUUCCUAUUUAGUAGCGUCCAGUACAACCACAUGGUAAUAUGGGCUCUGCCUGGAUGGAGUAAGAAAUGUUUACCCAGAUCCGAGGGAUUGUACUGAGGUAGUUGUGUAGGUGGGAGCGCGGGUCCCUCAGGUGGUUUGGGUGAACAUGUUCUGAAAAUUCUUGAAGUCGAUGCCAUUGCUACUCCACCCGGAGAACAGCAAGGGAUUAACACGUCGAAUUCUUGUGGGUAAAGUGUACCACCUCUCGAGAGUGUCAAACUAAGUACUUAGCGUGUCCCCGGUUACGGACAAUUAUGAGCAACUGGAUAUUGGAGCUGUAAGGAAAGUCUCACUCAUUCCAAUUUCCUAAUAAAACGAAUGGUUUGAACUGGGUAGGAGCAUUGAUGUUUCUACUCAAUGUGCCUAGGUUAAUAGGAGCAUGGGUGUUUCUACCCCGUGUCCAAUAGAAUUCAAAACUAUUUGUCUAAAAAUGAUAGGAUUUGAAUAAUGAUACUUUUAUGCAAAAUAGCCAAACCCCACUUAGCCAAACUAUGCAUGUACUUGGUAGGUCCUUUAUAACUCUAGUGAGCUUGCCAAUACUUUCAAAUGUAUUGAUCACGUAGUGGCUGCAAUUAACAAUGCAGGUGGAUCCGACGAUGAGUGAGGUUCGUCGUUUUGUCAUGGGUCAUGUGCUUACAUUCCAACAUGCUCUCUCCUCUGGGAGUAGAUGAGGCCCUUUUACUCUACUUUUCCGCUGCAGCUUCAUGAUAUAUCGUUGUCAUGGUUUUGAACAUUAUUUGUUUAUGCUGGCCUAAGAGGUCAUGCAAGUUUGUAAGUACAAUUUAAGUUCUGGAUGAUACGAUGUAAUAAAGUACUUUUGACCAUUGUAUCUUGAUAUUACAUCUUGAACUGUGUGUGCUAGUGAGUCGAUCCAGGGACUAGCACAAGUAAGCACAGAGAUCGAACCCUUGGUGAAAGGGGAUCGCUUCAGAUGGUAUCAGAGCAAUGUGUUGCCUGUAGGAACGUGACCCUAGUUUGGAUUAAGAUAAGACAAGACCAAAGGCCAAACCUUAGGAAUAUUUCUCAUCCCUUUCUGAUCUAUAUCUAUAUACAUACAUUUUAUUCCUUAUCCCUAUUCAUCUAAAUCUUUGCAUUUAUAUCUACAUAUGCAUGACAUGUUUAUUGUUUUACAUAUACACCGAAUACUAUGCUUAUUACCAUAUAUGCAUGUUUAUUAUAUUAUACUGCAGAUGCAUAUUUGAUUUUUUACACCAUACACCACUAUAAUCUUGUUGCCAUGUUGUUCACUUUUAUUUUAUUUUUACUUACACUCGACCAUUUGAUCAUGUCACUGAUACUCCCUUAUCUCCUUCUUUAUUUUCUAUAGAUGGGAAGCCCAACACCUUUUGGCAACGUCCCGCCGUUCACCCGCGUCUACUACCCCGCCACGGACGAUGACCAGCUGUUCAGUGCCCCUUUGGCGGCACUGUGUGCUUUCCUCGACCUGCCACCACCCAGGUUCAGAGGCCGAGUUGAGACCGCCGCACCCGAGGGAUGGCCGCCACGGUGGGAGAUCGAGGCGAAGAUCCGGGGCCGUGAGAUCACGCCAGCUACGCCGGAUAUCACCUUCAUCAGCCGCUACCCCACCUUCGAGCAGGGCCUUCAGUUCGCCAUGCAGUGCGCCUUCGCAUAGGUGUGCCGGGACUAUCGGCACGAGUUCCCCGAGGAUUCCCCCUUCCUCCUUUUUGGGAGGCGGAAUCACGCAUGCUCGGCAGUGGCUACGACCAACGACGAGGAUGCAACCCCAGUGACGACCCACUUCAAGAACAUGGAAAUCAACACCGUGGACUUGGAGUCUUGUCUCGAGCAUGAGAUGACCAGGGCCGACCUAGCCGAGGAGCAGGUUGGUAACCUGAUGGGAGAGAAGACCCAGUGGCUGGGGACAAGGCCGUGUUGGAGAACACUGUCCUCAAUAUGGGAGACACCAUCGAGCAGCUGCAGUAUGAGAGGGACUAGACUCGCUACUACUGCGAGCAGUUCCAGGCGUUCAUCGCAGCAGUAGCCGCAGCAGCACCAGCUACCGCACCAGCGCCAGACCAGGUCCCACCUCCACCACAGGAUCAGGAGAUGGAGGCUCAGGAGGAGGAGCCGACUGAGGAGGAGGAGCCUCAGGAGGUCCACGAGAUGGACACCCCUGCUACCAACACCCGCUCCAAGAUGAAGGCGAACGGGACCACACCGACAGCCACACUCCCCUAGAUCUGUUGAUGCCUACCAGCUUAUAUUAGUUUUUAUCGUUAUCAGCUUUGCGAGUUAGUCAUUGACCAUACAAUCUAUGUGUAUGGCAAUGUAGGUCGAUUACUUUUUCCUCGUCCUCUUUUUCUUUGUGGGCAAUGCCCCACCAUAAACAAGUGUGUUUUGCUACGAUUUCCAAAACCUUUCAUGAUUGAUGAGUGUAUGAUUGAUAUAUGCUUGAGUAAUAUCUUGUUUGGGGGUUUAGUUAUCCUUAGCUCUAUUGUAUCUAUUUUCUCGUCUAUACUACCCUAAACAGAUGCCUCCGAGACGCCGGAACCCCACCAACAACGCUGAGGCUAACAAUGCCGAAGCUGACGGAAACGCUGCCACGAUGCAACAGUUAUUGGCUGCUCAGACCCAAUUCUUCCAGAUGAUUACACAGCAGUUAGCCAACAACAAUGCCAACCACCAGCAGAACCCCAACAACAACCAGCAGCACCACCCACUUCAAGUGGACAUGUUGACAAGGUUUCUGCGCUUGCGCCCACCCACCUUCUCCAGCUCACCAGAGCCAAUUGUGGCAGACGAUUGGCUCCGCUCUGUGAACAAGAAUUUGGUGACCAUCAACUGCACCGAGGAGGAAAAAGUUCGGUUUGCAGCCCAUCUGUUGGAAGGACCAGCUGCACCGUGGUGGGAGAACUACCAGAUCACCACCCCUAUUGAGCUUGUCACAUGGGAUAUGUUCCAAGAAGCCUUCCGCACCGCCCACAUCUCGGCGGCGGUGCUUAAUUUGAAGAAGAAAGAGUUUCUGCGGCUCAGACAGGGAAGCCGCACAGUGGUCGAGUUUAUCGACUAGUUCAACAGUCUCGCCCGCUAUGCGCCGGACGAGGUGAACACGGAUGCCAAGCGCCGAGAGAGAUUUUUGGAUGCUCUGAACGAUGAGCUCUCCGUUCAGUUGGCUAUUGCUUACACCCCUACCUACCAAUCACUCAUUAACAAGGCGAUCGUGUUGGAGAACAAGCUCCAUCAGAUGGAGAACCGCAAGAGGAGACUCCACCAGGGAGGCUCUCACGCGGGGCCGCCUCAGAAGCCACGCAUCACCCAGGACGGCAGCGGCAGUUCAUCUGUGCAUAAGGCCGGAGGCCACAACGACAGACACAGUGGAGGGUAUGGCCAUCAGAACCGCCAUACCGGGAUCAACAACAGCAACAAGCACCAGCAUCACCAGCACCAGCAGCAGCGCCCGAGGCACCAUAACGGGAAUGGUAACCACAAUGGAGGUGGAAACCAAGGUGGCAAUGGAAAGGGCCACACCAACGGCAAUGGAGCCGGACAGAACCGCAACCCUGGCAGGGACAUGAGCUAGGUGGAGUGUUUCAAGUGCCACAAGAUGGGCACUACUCCAACGAUUGCCCGGAGAGAUUUGGAGGGAACGUGGUUAAACCAAACCCAUUCCAGAAGGGCAACGUGAACCACAUCGACGUGGAAGAGAUCAUCGAGGAGCAAGGUAUAGUCAUCGGUACCUUUAGCAUUAAUUCAUUUAAGGCUUUAGUACUGUUUGAUACCGGUGUAUCCCAUUCAUUCAUAUCAAGGGGUUUUGUGCAUCAAAAUGGAUUACCUGUCAGCACAUUAGCCAACCCCAUGAAAGUAAACUCACCAGGUGGAGAGUUGAUAACUGCCUAUGACUGUCGUGGGCUAAGUUUGGAAAUAGGAAAACACACCUUCCCCACGGACCUAAUAAUAAUAGGUCCCAGGGUUUGGAUGUCAUCCUAGGAAUGGAUUGGCUGGCUAAGUAUGAGGGACUUAUAGACUAUGUCAGAAGAACCAUCACCCUCACCACCCCAAGGAAUAAGAGAAUCCGCUUCAAGUCUGUUUUCGAACUUAAGAGACCUAAGGUCAAUGCUCUUAAGGGGGUUAGCCAGGACGAGGUUCCAGUAGUGAAUGAGUAUCUGGAUGUUUUUCCAGAGGAAUUACCAGGCAUGCCACCGGACCGUGAUGUGGAGUUCCUUAUUGAGUUAAUGCCAGGAAGUGGACCCAUAGCCAAGAGACCAUAUAAGAUGGCUGUGGACGAGUUGAAAGAAUUGAAGAAGCAGCUAGCUGAACAGUUAGCGAAAGGGUUCAUCCGCCCCAGUUCAUCACCCUGGGGAGCACCUGUCCUGUUUGUAGAAAAGAAGGACAAGAGCCAACGGAUGUGCAUUGACUAUCGUUCACUCAACGAGGUGACGAUAAAGAAUAAGUAUCCUUUGCCCAUAAUCAAUGAUUUAUUCGACCAGUUGAAGGGAGCUCAAGUGUUCUCAAAGAUCGAUCUGCGAUCAGGAUAUUUUCAGUUGAAAAUUCGGGAGAUGGAUAUACCCAAGAUGGCAUUCACCACUAGGUAUGGACUGUACGAGUACACUGUGAUGCCUUUUGGAUUGACUAAUGCACCUGCAUACUUCAUGAACAUGAUGAACAAGGUGUUCAUGGAAUUCUUGGACAAGUUUGUCGUGGUAUUCAUAGAUGACAUCUUGAUUUACUCCAAGAGCAAGAAAGAGCAUGAGCAGCAUCUGCGCAUGAUUUUGGAAAAGUUGAGAGCGCACCAGCUGUACGCCAAAUUCAGCAAGUGUGAAUUUUGGUUAUUAGAAGUCAACUUUCUUGGACACAUAGUGUCAGGAGCCGGAGUAGCCGUUGACCCAGCUAAGGUUGCAGCAGUUACGGAAUGGGAGGCACCGAAGAAUGUCGGAGAAGUCCGCAGCUUCCUUGGACUUGCCGGUUAUUAUCGGAGAUUCAUUGAGAAUUUCUCGAAAAUAGCGAAACCCAUGACAGAGCUUUUAAAGAAAGAGAAGAAGUUUACCUGGAAUAAGAACUGUGAAGAAAGUUUCCAUGAAUUGAAGAAAAGACUAGUGUCCGCACCCAUCCUUGUUUUGCCUGACCUACAAGAGGAUUUUCAAGUAUACUGUGACGCCUCAUGUCAAGGAUUGGGAGGAGUGUUAAUGCAAGGAGGAAGAGUUGUAGCGUAUGCUUUGCGGCAGCUGAAAAGCCAUGAAGGCAAUUACCCCACUCAUGACUUGGAGUUAGCAUCGGUAGUGCACGCCCUGAAGGCUUGGAGACACUACCUAAUGGGAAAACAUUGUGAAUUGUUCACGGAUCACAAGAGCCUGAAAUAUAUAUUCACCCAGAAGGAGCUGAACCUGAGGCAGAGAAGAUGGUUAGAACUGAUAAAGGAUUAUGACCUGAGUCUACAAUAUCAUCCAGACAAGGCUAAUGUAGUAGCCGAUGCAUUGAGCCGCAAGGGUUUUAUAAAUGAACUAACAGCUGGAGAAUUACCACCAGAGUUGUGCGAACAGUUCAAGGACCUCAGGCUGGAGAUAGUACCUGAAGGUUAUUUAGCCACCUUGGAAGUACAGCCCACAUUGCUGGAUAGGAUUAGAGAAGCAUAGAAGGAUGACUCAGAAAUUAAGGAAAUAAAAGAGAAUAUGCUUACUGGAAAGGCCAAAGAGUUUCGAGAAGACAACCAGGGUACCAUAUGGUUCGGAAGACGCAUUUGCGUACCGCAAGAUCUGGAAAUCAGAAAGUUGAUUCUGCAAGAAGACCACGAUUCACCAUACUCAAUCCAUCCUGGAAACACAAAGAUGUACAUGGACCUCAAGGAAACAUUUUGGUGGUCCGGAUUGAAGCGUGACAUCGCAGAGUUCAUUGCCUUGUGCGAUGUGUGCAGGAGAGUUAAGGCAGAACACCAGAAGCCAGCAGGGUUACUGAGACCAUUGCCUAUACCGGACUGGAAAUGGGAUAAAGUUGGCAUGGAUUUUAUCACCGGGCUACCAAGGACUAGAUCAGGAUAUGAUUCCAUUUGGGUAGUGGUUGACCGUUUGACCAAGGUUGCCCACUUCAUACCAGUGAAGACUACAUACACUAGUGCACAGUUAGCGAAACGCUACAUGUCCAGAAUAGUGUGUUUACACGGAGUACCCAAGGAAAUAGUUUCAGACAGAGGUACCCAGUUUACCUCAAGAUUUUGGGGACAACUACAUGAGUCUCUAGGAACGAGACUAGAAUUCAGUACAGCCUUUCAUCCGCAGACGGAUGGACAGACCGAGAGAGUAAAUCAGAUCCUUGAAGAUAUGUUGAGAGCUUGCGCUCUAGAUUAUGGGUCUAGUUGGGAUGACAAUUUGCCGUAUGCAGAAUUCUCAUACAACAACAGUUUCCAAGCUAGCAUUGGAAUGUCACCGUUUGAAGCUUUGUAUGGAAGGAAAUGCAGAACACCAUUGUUAUGGGAUGGUGUAGGAGAUCGUAGCCUAUUCGGCCCAGACAUGAUAAAAGAUGACGAAGAAAAGGUUAGACUCAUCCGAGACCGGCUGAAGGUAGCUCAGUCAAGACAGAAGAGCUAUGCAGAUUCCAAACGUAGGGAGGUUACCUAUGAAGCUGAAGACAGAGCUUAUCUCAGAGUUUCGCCGAUACGCGGUGUCAAGAGAUUUGGUAUAAAAGGGAAGUUAGCACCCCGAUUCAUCGGACCUUUCAAGAUAUUGUCGCGACAAGGAGAGGUAGCCUACAAGUUGGAUUUGCCGAAAAGACUGUCCAAUGUCCACAACGUCUUCCACGUAUCGCAACUGAAGAAGUGUCACCCCGAGAUGGCCGACACACACCUGAGGGAUACAAUUCCACUGGAGGAAGUUCAAUUACAGAGUGACCUCACCUAUGAGGAGAAACCAAUCAGAAUCUUGGACACAGCUGAGACACAAACCCGAUCCAAGACCAUCAAGUUCUGCAAGGUUCAGUGGGACCAUCACACAGAAGAAGAAGCCACUUGGGAACGUGAAGAUGAUCUUCGAGAAGACCACCCACACCUCUUUGCUAGCCACACCGAAUCUCGAGGACGAGAUUCAUCUCAAGGGGGUUAGGUCUGUAACAUCCCAAAAUUUCAAACUUUUACAUGUGCAUUGCAUUCAUAAGCAUCAUGCCACAAUUGCAUAUUUGAAUUUUUGAAUCACAAAAGGCUUUAAGAGAUUUUGUUUACAUCCCUGUAACCUUUGGAUUUUCAAACCAAUAGGGUUGAUGUAUAAAAAGGCUUUAAUGCAUAUAUAAGCUAUCCCAUAAUUUUUGGUUAAUUAUUUGGAGUUGAAAAAGUAUUUUAUUUAAAUAGUUAUAUGGCCCUAAAGCAUUUAGAGGGCAAAUGUAUCUUUACAUAUUUUAUUUUGAAGAGAAACUACUUCCAAAAGUUGUAUCUUGGUAGAACAUGAUUUUACAAAUUUUCUGGAAUUUAUUUGGACCAAUUUGGAGUUCAAACUCAAAAGAUAUCAAAGAAAUGAGAAAAGCAUAAAAAGAAAAGGCUAAAAGAAAAAAAAAAUAGAAAACCGGACCGGCCCGGCCAAAAUGGGCCGAACCGGCCCAGUCCGACCGCACGCGUGCCGGCCCAGCCCGCCCCCCC